GUGGGGAAUUUUGGACAAUGGGCGAAAGCCUGAUCCAGCCAUGCCGCGUGCAGGAUGAAGGCCUUCGGGUUGUAAACUGCUUUUGUACGGAACGAAAAGACUCCUUCUAAUAAAGGGGUCCAUGACGGUACCGUAAGAAUAAGCACCGGCUAACUACGUGCCAGCAGCCGCGGUAAUACGUAGGGUGCAAGCGUUAAUCGGAAUUACUGGGCGUAAAGCGUGCGCAGGCGGUUAUAUAAGACAGAUGUGAAAUCCCCGGGCUCAACCUGGGAACUGCAUUUGUGACUGUAUAGCUAGAGUACGGUAGAGGGGGAUGGAAUUCCGCGUGUAGCAGUGACAUGCGUAGAUAUGCGGAGGAACACCGAUGGCGAAGGCAAUCCCCUGGACCUGUACUGACGCUCAUGCACGAAAGCGUGGGGAGCAAACAGGAUUAGAUACCCCUGUAGUCC
rnacentral:rRNA from 1 species